UGGAAGUUACAUACGUGUAUAAAUGUUACUAUAAUUUGUACAUCACUAUGCUUCCAAUAUUAUAAUGGCUCUCUGAUGACCGCAGUUGUAUGAAGUCUUAAACUGAGGACAGAUACGGAGUCGACAUUA